UGGGGAAUUUUGGACAAUGGGCGAAAGCCUGAUCCAGCAAUGCCGCGUGUGUGAAGAAGGCCUUCGGGUUGUAAAGCACUUUUGUCCGGAAAGAAAUCCUUGGCUCUAAUACAGUCGGGGGAUGACGGUACCGGAAGAAUAAGCACCGGCUAACUACGUGCCAGCAGCCGCGGUAAUACGUAGGGUGCAAGCGUUAAUCGGAAUUACUGGGCGUAAAGCGUGCGCAGGCGGUUUGCUAAGACCGAUGUGAAAUCCCCGGGCUCAACCUGGGAACUGCAUUGGUGACUGGCAGGCUAGAGUAUGGCAGAGGGGGGUAGAAUUCCACGUGUAGCAGUGAAAUGCGUAGAGAUGUGGAGGAAUACCGAUGGCGAAGGCAGCCCCCCUGGGCCAAUACUGACGCUCAUGCACGAAAAGCGUGGGGAGCAAAACAGGAUUAGAUACCCUGGUAGUCCACGCCCUAAACGAUGUCAACUAGUUGUUGGGGAUUCAUUUCCUUAGUAACGUAGCUAACGCGUGAAGUUGACCGCCUGGGGAGUACGGUCGCAAGAUUAAAACUCAAAUGAAUUGACGGGGUCAUAGCUGUUUCCU
rnacentral:rRNA from 1 species